rnacentral:tRNA from 1 species
AGUCUUAUAUUCAAUAAUGAUAUAAAAUUGCAAAUUUUAAGGAGUAUUAAUUAUACUAAGGCUU